rnacentral:lncRNA from 1 species
GUCAACAAUGCCAGUAGUGAGUCGAGAGAAGUGGAGAAGAGGGUCCCUCCAGGCUCCAUACAUGAAUGGUGUAUGUCGAAUGUCUUGGGUAAACUUUUGCUUUUCCUUCAUUUCUUUAUCUUCGAGUCAACAAUGCGAGUAGUGAGUCGAGAGAAGUGGAGAAGAGGGUCCCUCCAGGCUCCAUACAUGAAUGGUGUAUGUCGAAUGUCUCGGGUAAACUUUUGCUUUUCCUUCAUUUCUUCAUCUUCAGUUGAAGAAUCGUCCCUCCACUGUCAUCUUGAAGGGUGGCAUGCGGCAAUGUCGGGGAAAGCAAGGAAGAUGUUCUUGUACAUCAUCGAACAUAUAAACCCUGGUGGCCAAACUAAAUGUUUUAUAUUCCUUUGGGAAACUUUUAAGGAAAUCCUCCCAAACAAAUCAUUCAGGUUAGAAGGAACAACUUUCACAUAGAAAGCACAUUGUAUCAAACUUCAGAUAAGUCUUGAUGCACCCUUCAGGCUGCAUGAUUAAUGCCUGUAAUUUACCUAAGCUAUCAACAAAUGGUUAGUUGCCGAGUUUACAUGCAGUUAUGAAAGUUAGAGCACAUACAUGCUUGAUUUUACUUCCUUUAAUACAGGGCAUUCUAUAAUUACUAAGAACUAAUUUGUUGAAGUGUGCCUCCCUAUUUUGUCCAGAUAACUACUUCAGGUUAGGCGGGAGAAAUAAAAAGGGUAACCAUAGAUAUAUGGUCUAGCAUCACGAGGUUCAGGUUCCUGUUAUUGAUCAACCAUUGCUUUGCUCGACGUGGGUUAUGCUUGAUUAUGUUCUUCUUUGUAUUUUUGUUCAUGGCCUACACCGGUGUUAUCAUCUAUUUUGUUUCAAAAUUUUCAAUGGCUUAUUUUCAUGUCCCAAUACCACUUGAAAUACAACUAAGUACCUUCUGACAGGACAAUAAUGUAUGUAUUUACCUAUGGUUAUUGUUUCCUAAAAGAAACUUGAUCAUCUCACCUUGGUUUCCCCUGUAUCUGACUUGGGACAGGUUUAUGUGAGAUUUGUUUUCCAUUUUCUGUUUGUGUGGAUGCUUAAGCUUAAGCUUUUGUUAUUUGUUAGAGAUUAAAGAAGACUGAAAUAUGGGCUCAAGCGAUUGCUAUGUCUGACCUACACAAGAAUGCCAAGAAGUCCUCGGAGACGUAAGCCACGGCGCAUGUUUCUGCCAUGAUUUCCUUCGGUUGGAUUUUGUGGAUUUAGGUUUUGAAAAAUUAUGGGCUGUGGAUGCAGAAUGAAGGACAUGUACCUGCACUACAACGAGAGAUCUGGGCUGCUUCUUUGUGGCUUUCAAACUUGAAGUGUUUGUUUGGAAGUUAGUUUAGUUUUUUGUUUUGGAUUCACAGCUUCUCACAUGUACCAUCCUCUUAGACCUUUAGAUUUCCAAAGAAACUAAAUGAAGAUAUGGUGGUAUGGUCUCAAUAGUACAACUUAAAUCGUUCCAUGCUUUAUAUUUGCUAUCAAAUUUGCUCUUCAAGAAUCAUGUAUCUACGUUAGAUCCGGUGAGCUUUAUAUUUGCUCUGAAAUUUGUUCUUGAAGAAUCAUGUAUCUGUAUUAGAUCCGGUGAGAAAAUGCAUCUUACAAGCAGAGGAUGCGGGAGUGUUGGCCACAUUUGAUUUUCGACUUGGGUGUCUAAUAUUCUCACAAUACUUGGCUCCCUCUUGGCCUUUG